AACUGGGAGCCAAGAUGGCCGAAUAGGAACAGCUCCGGUCUACAGCUCCCAGCGUGAGCGACGCAGAAGACGGUGAUUUCUGCAUUUCCAUCUGAGGUACCGGGUUCAUCUCACUAGGGAGUGCCAGACAGUGGGCGCAGGUGCAAAUUCUUCCUUCAUCAGCAAAGACAAUUUGCUCUGGGACACGGCUCCAAAUUGCCUGCAUGCUCAUUUAUGCUGUGGGAGAACAGCAUAAAUGCUCCUUUUUCACUGUUCUACUACUUACUGCUGUUGCCAAAGACACCAGAAGCCAAAUAACAGAGAGCGCAAACAACUUGUUCAAGGUCAUUGGACUGAAAGUGACAGAGCCAGGACUCUGUCCCACAUGCAAAGACUCCACGCAUCAUGCCUAUGAUACUCAGAGAAGAAGGCUAUCAUUAUAAAGACCUAUACUUGAUGCUAGAAAUUCAAGACGAGCCUGGGCAACAUAGCAAGGCUCUCAUCUCCACAAAAAAGAAAAAAAAUUAAAAAUAGGCAUAGUGAAGCACACUGGUGGUAGUCUUAGCUACUCAGGAGACUAAGGUGGGAGGAUCCCCGAGCCAAGGAGUUUGAGGCUGCAGUGAGCUAUGCAAAUACCACUGCACUCCAACCUGUGCAACAGAGAAAGACCCCGUCUCU
rnacentral:lncRNA from 10 species